rnacentral:misc_RNA from 1 species
AAACCUUCAACUCUCACAUAGUACAAAAUCCCUCUCCGACUUCUUCAUCUUCUGAUACGCAUUCGAAACGCAAAGGAAAAACCCAAAUGCCUUUACUUCUCUUACUCCCAUAGAAGAGAAUCCCCUGACUCACAAGCAAAAACCCAAAAUCCUUAUCCUUUAUCUCUCUCUUGCACAGACUGAUUUUUGGUGAAGAGAUGCAUCCUUGUAGCAGAGAAAUGCAAGGAAUAAA